rnacentral:lncRNA from 1 species
UUUUUUGGUUUUUUGAGACAGGGUUUCUCUGUAUAGCCCUGGCUGUCCUGGAAAUCACUCUGUAGACCAGGCUGGCCUCGAACUCAGAAAUCCGCCUGUCUCUUCCUCCCGAGUGCUGGGAUUAAAGGGGUGCACCACCACACCCGGCUUAUCUUUUGAUUCUUUUUCCACAGAAUUAAGUAAAAAAUAGUAGUAUGGUAACUCCUACCCAGGACCCUGAUGGUUUGUUCUAUAAACUGAUAUGAAUGACACACGAUAACUGUAUUUCAUAUACCUUUUCAAUGCUACACAUAAUUCUGAGACUGAAACAAAUAUCUCGGAGCUGAGACCUGAGUUGUAACGGGCUCUGCAUGGGACUCUUUGUUGGUGAGUUACUGCGAGGCAGGUCUCUGACUCAGGAGUAACUGUGCCUCCUAGUCUUCGCUGUGGCCUUGGAGGAUCCGAGCAUCUGGUCUUAAGAGCUUUGCCUUUUCCAUCUCUGAAUGUCCCCAGCCCCACUGUGCGUUGUGCCGUCUGUGUCUCAUUAAUAGAGCUCUCAUUAGGUGCAUUUGUGUCCAGACUCGACAGCCAUAUGCUCAUCUCAGAUAGAGAACUGUCAGCCUUACGAUGGCUCCCUGCCUUCAGCAUCCCGAAGUCAGUCCCCUAAAUGUUGGGGGAGUAAGGGGAGAUAGAGCUGAAGAGCUGGUGGGAUGUGUCUGCCAGAUCCAUCUCCACCCUCUUUUCCUGGAACACACCAGGGAAGCAUUCUGCCCUGCGCUACAGCCUCAGCCCAAGAAAUGGAAGUGUGUGAUAACAAAUCACUUUCUCUGUAUAUAUGUACACUCACUACCACAGAUAGCACUUGAUCAAUUGCUAUAAGGUGGCAUUAAUACUCAGAUAACCACAAAGGACUUUGAAACCCUGAGCUACUUUUUUUUUAAAUAAAAUAAAAAAUUAAAUUAAAUUAAAUUAAAUAAAAAAAAAAAACCAGUGUCCUAUACUGUAGCUCAGGCUAGCCUAGAACUCUUCUGGACUGGCCUGGGACUCGGGAGCCACCAUGCCUUUUAUUUAUUUAUUUAUUUAUUUAUUUAUUUAUUUAUUUAUUUAAAGAUAGUGUCUUGCAAUGUUAGUCCUAGCUGGCCUGGGACUUGCUAUGUAGACAAGGCUAACCUUGAACUGAACUCAGAGACCUGCCUGCUUUUUACCUCAGCCUCCUGCAUGCUGAGAUUAAAAAUGUACACCACCAUGUCCCUUUUACAUUGUCCCCACCCCAGCCUCCCACGUGCUCUCACAGCAAGGCCGUGAUCCCACGCUGGUCUCAUUUGGACAUUUUAACGUGGCUGGGAAGCUGUCUUGCCAUGACUUACUGGGGGAAAAGCAGCCUAAGGCCAUCCCUCCCUGCUUCCAUGCACACAGAAGUGUCGUCCGUCUGUGGCAGGAGUAACCGCGGGAGACUGUUGUGUUUGAAUGUCCCCGAGAUUACUAGUUCUGGGUUUGCCGUCAGGGACCGCUCAGGCUUGCUACCUGAUGUGUAAUUCAGGCCCUUGACUUUCGUGACCGUUUUGGGCAUGGGCUGCAGAAAUGUCAAGCUAUCCUCUUCUUCCUCGUGGUCUCUUUUCCUUCCAUACUCUCUGCUGCUUUAUGCCUAGUUGGACAAUCUGAAUAAAAGUAGUACCCUUGGAGAAGUGAGGACAGAAGAUUCCCAAAAGACUGCUGCUGUCUUUUGGCUGUCCUUUUCGAUCCAAGGCCCUGGGGACGUGGUAGUCCCAGCACAGUGUUGAGAGAUACCGUGGUCUUCAGUGCAGCUAAAGCUCUAAAAUAAGUCCAUACCCCCUCACCUCCCAAAAAAGGUAUUAUCCAGCUCCCAGAAGGCUGAGGCAGGAGGAUUGCUAUAAUUUUGAGGCCGGCCCAAGACACAUACUAGGUACCAGGCCAGAAAUCCUAUCUUAGAAAAAAGAAGAAAGGACUGGGAUUGUGGCCCAGGUGGUAGAAUGCUUGCUUUGCAGGCAGGAAGCCCCAUAGGUUUGCGCCCCAUAAACCAGGUGGGCAGAGCGUCUGUAAUCUCAGCAAUCUUCGGGUGAAGCAGGAGGAUCAGAGUUCAAAGUCAUUGCUGGAGGUCAGCCUUGGUUGCUUGAGACUGACUCUGUUUCAAUAAAUGGAUGGAUGGAUGGAUGGAUGGAUGGAUGGAUGGAUGGAUGGAUGGAUGCAAGAACAGAAAAGGCCCUUUGAAAUAAAUAGGACAUGCCUUGCACAUGUCUCCUCCCCGGGGAGCUGAGGGGUGGGAGUGGAGAAGGGAGCUGUGCUUGCUCAUGUCCUCCAAACGCCCCCUGUGGGAGCUGGAUUCUCUAGUCUGCUUCUGAAGCAGCCAACAGACUUGAUUAAGGAAGGUCUGCUCUACACAAAAGCCUUUUGUCAGUGUGGUUUAAAGCAUUUGAUUUUUUGUUUGUUUGGUUUGGAACCUCCAUCCGUGUUUACUUUGUCUUACAGUGGCUUGAGUCCAGCCAAUGACACCGGAGC